UGAGGAAUAUUGGACAAUGGGUGGAAGCCUGAUCCAGCCAUCCCGCGUGAAGGAUGACGGUCCUAUGGAUUGUAAACUUCUUUUGUACAGGGAUAAACCUGCCCUCGUGAGGGCAGCUGAAGGUACUGUACGAAUAAGCACCGGCUAACUCCGUGCCAGCAGCCGCGGUAAUACGAAGGGUGCAAGCGUUACUCGGAAUUACUGGGCGUAAAGCGUGCGUAGGUGGUUGUUUAAGUCUGGUGUGAAAGCCCUGGGCUCAACCUGGGAAUGGCAUUGUAAACUGGGCAGCUAGAGUGCGGUAGAGGGUAGUGGAAUUCCCGGUGUAGCAGUGAAAUGCGUAGAGAUCGGGAGGAACAUCUGUGGCGAAGGCGACUGCCUGGACCAGCACUGACACUGAGGCACGAAAGCGUGGGGAGCAAACA
rnacentral:rRNA from 1 species